rnacentral:rRNA from 1 species
GUGGGUAGUUUGACUGGGGCGGUCUCCUCCCAAAGAGUAACGGAGGAGCACGAAGGUUAGCUAAUCCUGGUCGGACAUCAGGAGGUUAGUGCAAUGGCAUAAGCUAGCUUGACUGCGAGCGUGACGGCGCGAGCAGGUGCGAAAGCAGGUCAUAGUGAUCCGGUGGUUCUGAAUGGAAGGGCCAUCGCUCAACGGAUAAAAGGUACUCCGGGGAUAACAGGCUGAUACCGCCCAAGAGUUCAUAUCGACGGCGGUGUUUGGCACCUCGAUGUCGGCUCAUCACAUCCUGGGGCUGAAGUAGGUCCCAAGGGUAUGGCUGUUCGCCAUUUAAAGUGGUACGCGAGCUGGGUUUAGAACGUCGUGAGACAGUUCGGUCCCUAUCUGCCGUGGGCGCUGGAGAAUUGAGGGGGGCUGCUCCUAGUACGAGAGGACCGGAGUGGACGCAUCACUGGUGUUCGGGUUGUCAUGCCAAUGGCACUGCCCGGUAGCUAAAUGCGGAAGAGAUAAGUGCUGAAAGC